UUGUAGAGCGCAGGCGAAUCUGCGUCUCGGAGGAAGGCGGGGGGGUGAGCGCAGCGCGAGGCUGUCAUGGCGACUAACAUCGAGCAAAUUUUUCGUUCCUUUGUGGUUAGUAAGUUCCGGGAGAUCCAGGAGCAGCAGUUCGGCAGUGAAAAAGUAGGAGGUCAACAGAAUGGUGAAAUAAACUCAUCUGAGCAAAUAAGCCCUUCGGAUGAUACAAUUGCAUCUAUUGGGAACCUUCAGAAUGAUCCACUAGUGCAGAAGAUAGAACAAGUAUUAUCAGAAGUCUUAGGUGCAGAGUCACAGUACAAACCAGAUGGAGAGGAUACAGUACGAAAUAAAUCUCACUCUUCUAAAAGAGGCCUGUCUGAUGAAGUGCAAGAUGAAAUUCCGAGGAAAAAGUCUAAGAAGGAUAAGAAACACAAAGAUAAGAAGAAGAAGAAGAAAAGAAAAAAGGAGAAAAAAUAUAAAAAGCAAUCUAAGGAAUCAAAAUUAAAUGCUGAGCAUAAAGCAUCUGAAGAUAUGCAGCCAGUUUCUCAUUCGAAACCAGAAAGCUCAAGCUCGGUUUUGAGUGCAGAAGAUAUGGAUUUAGGAUCGGUAUCUCCCUUAAAACAGUCUUCUGAAUGGUUUAUGGAAAAAACUGUAUUUGAAAACCUGAACUCAACCGUUUCAGAUUCACAUGAUGCAUUCAGUUCAGAUACCAGCAAACUGGAUACAUCUGAAGAAGAUUCUACUUUAAUCAGUGCUCAGGAGCUCAAUGAAGUAGAACCUACCAGUGACAGAGAAUUACAGGACGAUACCUGUAGGCAUAUCAGCCUGGCUGUGAAUUUGCAUAUAGAGGAUGACUCUUUAAAUGUUCCUGAUGUGGAAAGUGGGGCAGUUUGUAUGGAUAAAGAUGGAGUGGUUAGUAUAAAAGAAAUUGAACAACCUGAAGCAAGUUCAACAUUGGAAGCAAAAGAAAAAGUCACUUCUGUUGAAAACAGCCCAAAGUCUACAGCAUUGGAGCUGGAAGAUUUGGAAACCAGUUUGGAGUCUGACACAGUGGAGGUGAAAGAUUUAGAUGCUGUUGCACAGUUUUUGCAUCCUGAAAGCAUGAUACAAUCCACAGCAACUUCAUUUGAAAAGACUAGCUGUACAUUCAUGAAAUCGCCUUUGGAGGCAGUUGUGGAAGCCAAAGAUUCAGUGACAACUUUGGGAUUUUUGGCUAUGGUGGUUGGGAAAGAUUUUGAAGCAACUUCAGAAUUUUUGAAUACAGCAAAGGUAAAAGCUUCUGAAAGAAAUCUAAAACAUGAUGCAGUUAUAGAUAUGAAAGAUCUCAGAGUGCAAGACUCUGAGAGAAUUGUCCUAAUAAAAGAUCUAGAUAAAAAUCUACAGACCGACUCUAGAGCAGAAAAGAAAGAUUUGGAAGCAACUCCAGAAUCUCUGCAUGUAGUCACUGAAAAAGAUUUUGAACCAGGUCUAGUACAGAAACUUAAGAUUCAGCCAGAGGUUUCAAAGGGAACUAUGGAAUCUGAUGUACACAAACGUACAGAAUCAACUCUUGAUGCUGAGGCAGUAAGAAAAUUAAAAGAAACUCGACCCUCUGCAAUCAUGAUGAAGUUGAAAGAGUCAGAAAAAUAUCCAAAACCUCUGGAAGUUGCAGCUUUAAGAAAAACACUAGAAUUGGAGGAUAUGAACAGGAUGGGUUUAGGAGCAAAACUGUCAGAUGCAGCUGUAGAAGUGAAGAACUUGGAAACUGCUUCAGAGUUUGAGGAAGUGGACCCAGGGUUUUCAAAAGCUGAAUGUGUAGCAGAAAUCGAAAACUGGAACACAAUUCCAAAAUCUCUUAGAAUGGUACAUGUGAGGAAUCUAGAUAGUUCUUCGGAAUUUGAGGGAGAAAUACAAGCAAAUUAUUUGGAAACCUCUUUAGAAACUGUAACAGAGAAGAGGGGAGAUUCUAAAAUUAUUGAAGAUUCAGAAGCAAUGGUUGGGGUGAAUAUUUCUGAAAGCAUUUCAGGGUCUGGAAAAGUUGCAGAAAUAAAUAAUUCAGAAGUGGCUUCAGAAACUUCUGACACAGUGAAUAAACAGUAUCUGGAAGUUUCAAAAUAUAUAACUGUAGCAGAUACACAAAGAUUAAAUCUGAAGGAUUUGGAAAAAGUUCCAGAAUCUUUAAUGACAAUGAAAACUUUAGAAAGCAUUUCAGAACUCCAGUACAUGAAAGGAACACAAAAUGAGAAUAUUUUACAGUCUGAUGCAGUGGCACAGAGAAAAGAUUCAGAAACUAGUCUGGAGCCUGGAAAAAAAAGAGAGGAGAAAGAUUUGGAUGCUACUUCAGAGUCGCUGCAUAUGAUAUUUACCAACUAUUCAGAACACAGUCUAGAACUUUAUACAGAACCUGAUAGUAUGACGGCAAGUUCUUCAGAAACAUUUCCAGAACUGUUUCCUGUGGUGGAUGCAAGCAGAUCAGAAGCACUACAUACUAGGGAAACCAAAGACCUAAAAAUGGUAGAAUCUGAAACAAUGCAUAGAUUGAAUGUUUUAAAGAAAAAAUUAAAAUCUAUGCAAGGAGAUGUGAAAACAUUGGAAGCAACCUCAGAAUUUAAGGAAAUGCCAACUGUGAAAGGUUCCAAAAAACUUGUAGUAUCUGAAGCAGUGACCAAAAGGAAAAGAAUUGAAACUGCUUCUUUUUCUGUGAUUGAAAUAGAGGAGAAGGCUUCUGAUGCUAUUGAGUAUGUGGGAAAGGAUCGGAAUGGUUCUGAGACAGAUUUUGAUAUUUUACCAGGGUGUCAGAAAGUGGCUGAAGACUCUGAAAAGGAUCCUGAAAGAAUAGCAGAAAACGAGCCAUCUGCUGAGAUUGAAGGCCCAUUCACCCUUUCAAAAUCUUUGCCAGAGAUGGGCGUAGUAAGUUCAGGAGCAGCUCCAGAAUUGGGGACUGUAAAAGAAUUGCAAGAGUUGAAAGAAAUAGUAGGAUUUGCAAGAAUGGUGGAUGUAGGUGGUCCAAAGAAAACCUUAGAAAUGGAGACUUUAGCAUCAGUUGAUUCAAAAGAUGCUUCUGAAUUAGUGAAUAUCACAAAAGAUUUUGAAUUGGUUUCAGAAUGUCAUGCUGAACGGAAUUUAGAAUCCUUGCAACUUGUGAAGACACAAGUCAGUGAAGUAAACGUAGAUUCUCUGCGUGCUUUGGAAGUUAAAUACUCAGGAACACAUCCAGGAUUUCUGUUUUCACAUGAAUUAAGUAAUUUGAAAAAUACACAGGAAUUAGAAGAGAGGACAGAAACAACAGGAUCAAUAGCCCCAGAAUCUCUAUAUGUAACUCAGAGAGAUCUGAUUAUAGAUCCAGAAUCUGAUGAAACUGAGCUAAUGAAUUCAGAACGUAGGCCAGAAUCUGCCUACAUAGCAAAAACAAAUCCGGAGAACAUUCUAAAAUCUUUGUACAUGAUACAAGUGAAAGAUUCAAAGUCAGCUUCAGAAUCUAGGGUCAUGGGUGUAAAAGACUUGGAAAUUGAUUCAGAAUCUUCCCUCGGAGCAAUUGUAGAAAUAGGAGAAAACCUUUCAGAAUGUGAACCAGCAGUAGUAUCGGAGCUCUUGGAAAUUACUUCAGAAUCUCCCAGGAAAAAUGAAAUGCCCCUAGAAUCACAUCGUUUAUCAGUGCUGCAAGUAUCAGAUGCAGCACUCAGAAGUGAAGUGUUGACAGAUAAAGAUUUGGAAGUAGAUUCAGAAACCAUAUGUGUCAUUGAUAUUGAAAAUUUGGAAGUAACUCCGGAAUGUGAAGAAUUGGAAGUAGUAAAAAAACCAGAAGUCGUUCCGAUGUCUUUGUUUGCACUAGAGAUGAUAGAUAAACAAGCAGCCCCUUCCUCUGCCCAUGCAAUUGAUGAAUUAAAAGCAGCUAAAACAGUUGAAACAGCAGUGGAAGUAAACAAAUUGAAAGCACCAACAGAGUCUGUGAACAUAUUGAAAGAAAUGUUUCAAUCUACUUGCAUAGCAGAUGUGAAAGGUUUAGAAGCAGUUCAGAAGUUGGAAGCUGAUCUAGAACCUUUGGACAAAACUGAGAUAAAUACAUACACAGUAUCUGCUCUUGAAGGAAAUGCAAAUGAUUCUGAAGCAUUUCAGAGAUGUUUACCAGUUGUAGGCACACACACUUCAGAUGUCCUGCUGACAGCUGCAAGCAAAGCAAAACAAAAGGAUUCUGGAGCAGACCUAAAACCGGAUGAAUCAUUGGUGAUAACAUGUUCUGAACCAGGUUAUGAAUCUGUGAAAGCUUCAGAAAGAGAGACUUUUGAUGCAGCUCUAUCUGUGUUCACUGUGGAAGUCAAAGAUUCAGGGGCAAGUUCCAGCUUUUUAGAUACAGAAGAGUUGAAAGGUUUAAAAACUCCUCUGCAGUUUGAAACAACUCCAGAACCUCUGUGUGUGUUCAAGUCAAGAGAUUCAGAUGAUGCUGUGGAACCAACUGUAGAGACAAAAGAUUUAGGAGAAGCACUAAACUAUGACACAGUAUUAGAUGUACAAGAUCCAGUAGCCCCUAGAAUUCAUCUAAACACACCAGAAUUAAAGUCUUCAGAACUGGUCUGUGGGCUAAAAGUAACUGACCCUGAAGGAAUUCUAGAUCUAAAAACUACUUCAGCAUAUCUAGAUGUAGCAGACUUAAAGCCUUCUGACACAACUGCAGAGAUGGAAGGAUUAGCAAUAAUUGACUCUGAGAUGCAUCUGUCGACUUCAGAAACCAAGUAUGUGCUAGAAGCAUAUCACUACAAAGCUGCUGCAGAAUCUGAAGGCACAAUGGAGAAAAAUGUUCCAGAGACAACCUCAAAACUACUGUGUAUGGAAGAUCUGGAAACUACUCCAAAUUUUAAAAGUGCUCGAGAAAUAAAAGAUGUAGAAUCUUCACCACAGUCUGUGUGUACUGUGGAAGUAAGAGAUUUUGAAGAAAGUGUAAUCUAUGAAGAAGUGUUAGAUGUUUCAGAAAUCACUCCAGGUAUUGCAGCAGUAAAAGAUUUUGGAGCUUCAUCAUAUGUGAUUGCAGAAACAGUAAAAAAUUCAGAAACAUUUUUGGAACGUGCACAGAUAUCAGAUUUAAUGGACAAACCCAAAGAUGUGGAACCAGUGUGUUUGGCAGAAAAGUACCCUGGACCAACUGCAGAAAUGACAUGCAUUGUGGAUGUUAAAAAUUCUGAGGCAAAUUCAGGUUGUAAGGGUAUAGUAGAACUGAAAGAUACAGAACCCUUUUUAAAACCUGAAAAUGCUUUGACAUCUGUGCGUUCAAAAGAAAUAGAAGAUUUUGAAGAAACUCCUAAAUAUGAGUCUGUUGAAGUAAAAGAUCUGCAAGUUGCUCAAACAUCUUUGGGUGAAGAGGGACUAGAUUUUAAAGGUAUCUCAAAAUCUGUGUUAGCUUCAGAGAGACAGGAUUUGCAAAGAAUUUCGCCUUCUGUACUUGUUUUGGAAGAAAAGGUCUCUGAAGAAUCUCUAGGACCUCCCCAUGGUGCAAAAGCAAAGCACUCUGAUGCAGCUCCUGACUAUAUGAAUGCUAGAGAAGUACAAGUUUUGGAACAUUCAAAACAUAUAUAUAUGGCAGAGGGUACACAUUUGGAAUCUGCUCCAGAAUGUGUGGUUUUAACACAACCUAAGAAUUCAGAAAUUAUGCCACAAAUCAUUUUGGAGGUGAAAGAUUCAGAAGCAGCUUCAAAACCUUUGAUCAUGGCAAAGGAAAUAGACUUAGAUGGAACUGUGCAAGUCUCUUUGAAGGAAAAAGAUUUAAAUGCAAGUAAACCUGUAUGCAUAGCACCAGAAGAGAACUUGGAAGCAAGCCAACAGGUAGCAGUGGAUUUGAAAACUUUAGAAGCUGCUCUGGAACCUGUGUGCUUGGCAGAAAAGGACUUGGAAGCAAGACAACCUGUAACUGUGGAAGUAAAAGAUCUGGAAACAACUCUUGAACCUGUACACACAGCACAGGAAAAGGACUUGAAAGCAACUCCACUGGCCACUUUGGAGGAUCAACAUUCAGAAGCUGCAACAAAAUCUUCAGAUGUUAUUAAGGAAAAUGAAGGAAGUAUUUUAAAAGAUAAGAAAAGUGAAAAAAUAAGCAGCAAAAGUAAAGAUAAAAGUAAAAGUGGGAAAAAAACAAAAAAGAGUAGGUCAAAAUCUCCUUCCAAGUCAAAGAAACGUAAAAAAAAGUCUAGAUCACAUUCCACUUCUAGACAGGUGGCAUCAAGAAGAGCACGUUCUAGAAGUAGGAAUGAUUCUGAUUCAAAGAAAAAACAUUCUACCUCACACCACAAAUCUAGAUCAAAAUCUGCUGACAAAAAAGAGGGUAAAGAAUCAUCACUAAGGUCUAGACGGAGGCGGUCACGGACUUCUGAUCAUCCUAAAUCUAGAUCCAAAUCUGUUGAAAAGAGAGAAACUUCAGUAAGAUCAAGGCGGAGAAGGUCCAGAUCUUCUGAUCAUUAUAAGUCUAGAUCCAGAUCAAUUGACAGGAGAGACUUGGUAAGGACAAGGAGAAGAUUGUCCAGGUCUUCUGAUAAUCAUAGGUCUAGGUCUAGGUCUAGAUCAGUUGACAAAAGGGAGACUUUGAUAAGAUUGAGGCGGAGACGGUCCAGAUCUUCUGAUCAUCGUAAGUCCAGAUCACAGUCUGUUGAUAAACGAGAAACCUCAACAAGGACAAGGUGGAGACGGUCCAGGUCCUCCAAUAUCCACCGAUCAAGAUCCAGAUCAGUUGACAAAGUAGAUUCUUCAGUGAGGAGAAGGCGAAGGCGUUCUAGGUCCUCUGAUCAUUGCAAAUCUAGAUCCAAAUCUCUUGACAGAAGAGAAUCUUCAAUACGAUCAAGGCGAAGACGGUCAAGAUCUUCUGAUCAUCGUAAGUCUAGAUCCAGAUCAGUUGAUGACAAAAGAGAAACUUCAGUCAGGACCAUGAGAAGGCGGUCUAGAUCCUCUGAUAAUCGCAAAUCUAGAUCCAGAUCAGUCGACAAAAGGGAGUCUUCAGUGAGGACAAGGCGAAGGCGAUCUAGAUCUUAUAAUCGCAGAUCUAGAUCCAAAUCUGCUGACAAAAGAGAGACUUUAGUGCAGACAAAGCGAAAGAGAUCCAGGUCCUAUGAUAAUUGCAAAUCUAGAUCUAAAUCUCUUGAAAAAAGAGAUAUUUCAGCCAGGACAAGGCGAAGGCAGUCCAGAUCAGCUGACAAAGGGGAAUCUUCAGUGAGAACAAGGCGGAAGCGGUCUAGGUCAUCAGAUAAUCACAAAUCUAGAUCCAGAUCAGUCGAAAAAGGAGUGGUUUCUGUGAGAACAAGGCGAAGGCGAUCCAGAUCCUCUGAUAAUCGCAAAUCUAGAUCCAAAUCAGCUGAUAAAAGGGAAACAUCAGUGAGGACAAGGCGAAGACGUUCUAGAUCCUCUGAUAAUCGCAGGUCCAAGUCCAAAUCUGUUGACAAAACUUCAGUGAGAGCACGGCAAAGGCGGUCUAGGUCCUUUGAUCACAAAUCUCGAUCAAAAUCUGUUGACAAACAAGAGACUUCAGUCAGGGCAAAAAGGAGACGGUCCCAGUCUUCUGAUAAUCAUAAAUCUAGAUCCAAAUCCGUGGAAAAAAUAGAGGCUUUGGUCAGGACAAAGAGAAGAAGGUCCAGGUCCUCUGAUAACCACAGAUCCAGAUCCAAAUCUGUUGACAAAACAGAGACUUCAGCAAGCUCAAAAAAGGAGCAAUCCAAGUCUCCUGAUGAUAAUUCUAGAACAAAAUCUGCUGAAAAAGAAGAUUUAUCCUUAGCAUCUAGACAUAGAAGAUCUAAAUCACUGACUCAUCAGAGGUCUAAAUCCAAAUCCAAAUCCCCUGAAGGAAGAAAGGAAAUAGACUCUUCAAAUAUUUCAAGAGAGAAAUCUUCCAAAUCUAGAUCAAAGUCUCUUGAAAAAAUAGAGGGAGCUGAAUCUCUGGAAGCAUCUGUGUGUAAUCGUACGAAGUCUCCUGAACACCACAAAUCUAAAUCUAAAUCAAGGUCUAGGUCAAAAUCUCUGGAUAAAACAGGAGAGAGAAAGAAGAGAUCAAGGAGUAAAGGCUCAAAGUCCUCAGAACCCAAAUCUAAUAGGCAUAGAACAGCAUCACACUCUAGAAGGAAUCGUUCUCGAUCAUUAACACGGAAGAGGACCUCAAGAUCAAAAUCUGAUCAUCGAUCUCGCUCACGAUCUCAAACUCGCUCACGAUCAUGUUCAAGACGUUGGAGGAGGACUAGGUCAAGAUCAGCAUCAAGACAGCGCUCUUUAUCGAGGGAGAGGCGUAGGAGAGCUCGAAGAAACCGCUCAAGGUCUACUGACAGGAGGAGGAGAAGAUCAGAUUCAAGAGACAGUUACAGAGUGUCCCUCAGAUUGCGGUCCCGAAGUCGAACACCUGCCCGUCUAAGGUGCACUAGGUCCACAGGGAGAAGACGGAGCACCAGUACAUCACCAGAUCAUCGAAGAUCUAGAUCUUCAAGCAGAUCACCAAAACGUCUAACUGAUUUGGACAAGGCACAGUUACUUGAAAUAGCCAAAGCAAAUGCAGCUGCCAUGUGUGCUAAGGCUGGUGUGCCUCUGCCACCAAGCCUGAUGCCUGUUGUAGUUCCAGAAAAGAAGGAGGAGAAAGUGACCCAGAAGACAGCAAAAGAGACAAUAAUGGAACUCACUGAGAAAUGCAAGAAGAUUGCACAGAGCCAGGAAGAUGAUGUGAUUGUGAAUAAACCUCAUGUAUCUGAUGAAGAGGAGGAAGAGCAUCCUUUUAUUAAUCAUCCCUUUAAACUCAAUGAGCCCAAACCUAUUUUUUUCAAUUUAAGUACUCCAACCAUAAAGCCAACACCUCCAAAAACUCAGGUUAUUUUGACAAAGGAGUUUCCAGUCUCUUCUGGAUCACAACACAGGAAAAAAGAAGCAGACAGUGCGUAUGGAGAAUGGGUUCCAGUUGAGAAGAACAAGGAUGAGACCAAGGAUGACGUGUUUCCCAACCCAGCCAAUCUGGAGCCUGUGGACAUCUCAUCGGCAUUGAAUGAGCGGACGUUAGCCCAAAAGAGGCUUACAGAAAAUACUUUUGAUCUGGAGGCCAUGUGCUUGUUAAAUCGUGCACAGGAACGGAUUGAUGCCUGGGCUCAGCUGAAUUCUCUGCCAGGCCAGUUUACAGGAAGUACUGGAGUGCAAGUCUUGUCUUCAGAACAGUUAUCCAACAGCGGUCCCCAGGCUUGGAUUAAAAAGGGCCAAAUCUGCCUUGUAGCUGCCUUCUUGCCACGGUCAAUGCCAGCCCUACUAUUCACAACACUGCGGCCAUCGAGGCCUAGGAUCAGUUUCUUAGAGCUGCCCCUGUAUCUGGAGGAAUGGGAGCCCAACUCAUGAGAAAGAUGGGAUGGAGAGAAGGAGAAGGUUUGGGGAAAAACAAAGAAGGAAACAAGGAACCGAUUCUAGUUGAUUUUAAGACAGAUCGAAAAGUGAAAUAAGGUCCCUGAAUCUUGGAUGGUAAUCAGUGACUGCAGUUUGGCAGGCUGCAGCACUUACAUAAGAGACCAAAGAUGCUAUUGCAGAUGGGGAAAACUCCUGUCAAGUUCACACAUCUGGAACUUUUGCAUUUCAUAAUGGGGAAUCUGUUGGUUUUGUCAUCUUAACACAGAUUGUGGUGAUCUCUUAAACAAGAAUUCUUGUUUUCUCCUUAAUUGGUUCUUAAAUUAUUAAAUCCAAACAGUAUGUAUAUCUUUGUUGCAAAAUCGCCUGCUUGUUUAAAAAUAUAUGUUUAAUAACAUAUACAUAUUGAGUAUGUGAACUAGCCUAACUAAGUCCAGGCAUUUGAUCACAUGAAGUUAUAUACGCUCACUGUUUUCAGGCACUUACCUCUGGAGACUUAAUUUAAUAUCUUAGUCCAGUGCAUUGAAGGAAUAUGGUAUUGUGCUAUUUACAUUAAUGGUAAAUUCCAUAAUUCUGUGAAUAUUUUAGUCUUAGGUCAUUUCUAACGUAUCAAGUUAAAUGGAUAUUUGAACAAUAAUAAAGCAAUCAUAUUUUAAGAAUGUACUUUGAUUGUUUAAAAUUAAUAUUUUAACCAGUUAGUACAUGAUAUAAAACUUUAUUUUGUGACUCUCUAAUAAUUUUUACCCUUUUAGUAGAUGUUUCACAUAUCUUUGUUAAACUUGUUUCAGUGUAAAAAUUGCAGUUAAAAUCCUGAAAAGGGUUAAAAAUAGCACUUUUCCUAUUAAAAUAGCUCAAAAUAUAGUUUGUUUUGGGCUUUUGAGAAGGAUACUUUGAAUGGGGAAAAACAUGUCUAAUGGAAAUUUGAUUUAAAAAAUAUGUAUGGUUUUGUUGUGUCUGAUCCUGGCAUUUCUACAACUUUUUGUAACCCAUCGUUCUUGCCUGCUAGUUAAUGCUUCACUUCUUUAUACCUUACUGAAGACUUAGUAACAGUCUUAUAAUAGAAGUUAGAGUGAUGAGAAGAGAAAUGUGGUAACCUGUUCCCUGAUUUUCCACUGAGAUUUAUCAUCUCAGUACGUAAAGGGAAACAGUGAUUCAGUUAUCCUACAUGUAAAGAGUUCAGGUUCUUGUCUAAGGAAAUAUUCCCGAGAAUUGUGGCUCUUACCUUGAAGAAGCGCAUUUUUUAUCCUUACACAGUCAUUGAAAGGACUGAGGAAGCCUCUUGACAAGUUCUCUGCUCUGGACAUUUUCCCCUUACCACAAAUAACUAACUAAAUAAAUAAAUAUUUGUUCAGUGA